rnacentral:lncRNA from 1 species
GGGGUGCGCGUGGAGCCCGCCCCUCGGGCUGACCGCGUGGGGCCCGCACAGCGCCCUCCCUUCCCCCAACGCCCCGCGCCCGCGGGUCCUCGGUCUGCGCCUCGCCCAGCCGCUCGGGUCCCAUCGCCGCCCUCCCGGUGCCCAACAUCUCAGAAUCUACACCUCUUUUUUAGUUAAAACAACAAGAUAGGUUUUCAGAUGCCUGGAUCGCCCUGGGCUUCUAGAGGAACCGACUCAUUCUGCUCCCCCCCCUCCCUUUCUAACCCCCUUUUGUGGUCCACAGGGUUGUUUUAAGCAAAACCAAACAACCCCUCCAAAAAAAAAAAAAAAAAAAAAUGCAAACGAAAAAUUCCGGGUAAAAGCAACUAUGCCGAGACCACGUUUUCGUUGAAGCUGCCCUAAGACCAAAGAAGCCGAGACCGACCUUGAAGGAUUAGCGAUUUCUGUAACUGAAAUGUUCUAAUUUUACUGACGUUUGGUGGAGACGGUGAGAAAGAAUACAUGAGAGUUUGGCUUGGAAAAGGACAAAACAAACGAAUAAUCAUAUCUAACUUGGUUAACUGAAAAACCUAACAGCUGUAGUCCUGUCUUCUAGGCAGUGGUGUUUUGGGUUUCCUUGCUAAAGGUGGAGGGAAGGUGGUAGAGAGAAUGUAUUAACUAAUGGAAUAAAAUGGGACAGUAAUACAGGCAUGAAAUCCCACUGGAAAGAGCAAUAAGAACCUACUCUCCUCGCUCAAAUAAUCGGAAAGCAAAGCACAUGCUGAGAAAAUUACAAUAUACAAAAGUUAAGCGGGAUCCCUGGGUGGCGCAGCGGUUUGGUGCCUGCCUUUGGCCCAGGGCACGAUCCUGGAGACCUGGGAUCGAAUCCCACGUCGGGCUCCCAGUGCAUGGAGCCUGCUUCUCCCUCUGCCUCUGUCUCUGCCUCUCUCUCUCUCUGUGUGACUAUCAUAAAUAAAUAAAAAUUUAAAAAAAAAAUUUAAAAAAAAAAAAAAAAAAAAGUUAAGCCACAGAUUAUUAAUUUUCUUGUUAAAAUCUAAUAUCUAUGGGUUAAAAUAUUGUUCUUUUCCUUCCAAUUUUCCCAUGAAAGUUUGAAAUACAACCUAUUAAAAGCCAACAGACUUAAUGGCAUUUACAAGUACGUAAAACAGGUUUUGCUGAUUUUUUUAAAUAAUCUUACAGAUAAAUUAAGGAUAUCAGAGAGUUUGAUUUUAUGUAUAUAUAACUGAUUAGAGGUGGAAUAUUCAAACAAAUUCAUUUUGAAAACAAUACAAUUCAAGUAACUUGCCACAGAGUGGCCUUAUCAGAGUGACUAUGCAAUGUAAUAUGAAGUUGCAAGCUUUGGAUUUUGAAUUGAGCCAUGGAUAUACAAAUAUAAAUAUGCAAAUAAAUUACUGUUUUCAAAAAUCAAACUAGGGUGGAUAUAAAGUUAAGAAAGCAGAGUCUGUGGUGUAAAGGGAAGUCAAAGUAUUUAAAGCACUUGUAACCGGAAAAGCCUGUAUGAACCAGAAGAUAUCUAGAUUCACUAUAGUAAAUAGUUAACAUUUCUCUAAAAUAUGACUUCAGUAGUUAAUAUUUUGUCUUUGGAGGCAUAUACUGUUACCACUCUUUAUAAAAUGGAAAGACAAAGAGAUUUAGGCAAAGUAUACUGAGUCUAGCACUAGAAGACUCAAUGUGGAAAAUAUCUCCCCCUUUUUAUAUAUAUUCCAAAUUCUUGGAUCCCUUGUAUAAAUAAGUUUGGAUUUUUAUUGUAUAUUUAAUUAGGGAAUUGUACAGAGUAUCUUCUCUUUCAUAUGACUUUCAGUAGAACCUGUUUCAUAAUAAGACAAUUCUAUAAUUUUAAGGCUGGAAGAACUAUUUAGGAUCUAUUAGUUUCCCAUUUUAUAGUUGAGGAAAUUGAGGUCAGGGAAGGUCCAAUGCAGGUUCAGAGGCAGGGCUGUGGUGUGGCUAUCUUUGAAUGAAACCAUGUACCAAGUCCUGAGGGGGAGAUAGAGCAAAUACUUUUUUUUUCCUUAUUUUUGGUGAUAAGAAAACAGACCCAAGGUGAGGUUUGCCCAGACCCAAUACCAUUACUUUUUUUUGUUUUAAAGAACACCUACAGGGACGCCUGGGUGGCUCAGUGGUUGAGCAUCUGCUCCCCGCCUCGGGCGUGAUCCCGGAGUUCGGGGAUCGAGUCCUACAUCAGGCUCCCUCCGGAGCCUGCUUCUCCCCUUCUCCCCUGCCUAUGUCUCUGCCUCUCUUUGUGUGACUCUCAGGAAUGAAUAGGUAAAAUCUUUAAAACAAAACUAACAAACAAAAAAAAAAAACACCACGUAUAAUUAUCCUCAUGAAUGGUUCUGCAAAUCAUUGAAAGCUAAAGGCAAAAGCCUUGAGAGAAGAGACUUUGUUGGGCAAAGUGAUGGUUCAUUUCAGGAACUCUGCUCAGAAUCUCAAGCUAUCCUAAACUGAUAAAAUCA